rnacentral:rRNA from 1 species
UACGGAGGGUGCAAGCGUUGUCCGGAUUUAUUGGGCUUAAAGGGCGCGUAGGCGGUCGUGACAAGUCACUUGUGAAAUCUCCGGGCUUAACUCGGAACGGUCAAGUGAUACUGUCGGACUAGAGUACAGAAGGGGCAACUGGAAUUCUCGGUGUAGCGGUGAAAUGCGUAGAUAUCGAGAGGAACACCUGCGGCGAAGGCGGGUUGCUGGGCUGAUACUGACGCUGAGGCGCGAAAGCCAGGGGAGCGAACGGG